UUGGUUGCAUCAUUGGCUAGGACUUUUUUUUUUUUUUGCUUUUCAUAUCAUAUAUUUUUAUUUGUAUGUUAUCUAUACAGCCACCGACUACAACCACGUGUGUCUUACACCGCCUCUAACAUCCAAUACCGUACCGGCAGGUUUCCAUCACCACCUCGAUUUCUUUCGUCCACCGAUCGUUUCCUUCUUUUCUUCUUCAGUUUCUCAUUCUUUCCAAAAACCUCCGGUUGCUUCUCACAAGCAUUCCCACCCCACCGCUUCUCUUUGCUCCGCCUCCCAUUGACGUCUAACAAAUUAUCCCUUCAUAUUCUUACCCAUCAAUGUAGGUGAAAUCCCUAGCGAUAGUUCCAUGAUUAGGCCCUUCAAAGAUAGAAAUCUACUUUCGAUUGAAAGAUAGAAAUCUACUUUGGUGAAAAAGAAAUAUGCCAUGUUAGGUCUACCCGAAGGUCCAUAAACAGUGAAAAAUCGCAAACCAGUAAUUGAUAGAUCGUAGAUAUGAGUGUAAGCAUGAGCGAUUUUUUCACCGGAUUUCUUUGUGGCGGCGUAAAGGGUCACCGGUUGAUCGGUUCGAUCGAAGAGAGAGAGAGAGAGAGACGACGACGAAGAGGGUGAGGUCGAUUUAUUCGACUGAUACCGAUUGCGCUUUACAGAUUUUGUGAUUGAUUUGUUUGUCUCUGGUGAGCCGGAUCUUCCACCGCCUCCGAUUCAAUUCAUGAAUUGGCUCUGUGAAAUUGGAGCUGGCGUCUGUGACAUGAUGAAUGGGUGCUUAUUUAGCAUGUUGAAUGUUGGAUUUUGUCCUGGCAAUGGGAGCUUUUAUAGAACCAGCAGGAUGGUAGUAGCAGCCAUGUUCAACUCUUUAAGGAAAAGGGUCCAUGGGAGAUGGAUGCUCAUGAAAGAGUCGAAGCAGCUGGGAAGAAGAAAGAAGAAGGAAAUAUUCUUUGUAGGUGCUUUCAAUUCACCAAUUUGUUUUACCGUUGAAAGUUUCUUGCUGUUUUGGAAUAAUUUCAAUUGUUGAACUUUUAUUUCUGGCUUGAGCGCUGAUGUCCUUAUUAGUGGUUGUAUAAUUGUAUUGGGGUGCUGAUAUUUUGAGCCUCCUUAUUUGAUCU